GCGUGAGUGAUGACGGCCUUAGGGUUGUAAAGCUCUUUUACCCGGGACGAUAAUGACGGUACCGGGUGAAUAAGCCCCGGCUAACUUCGUGCCAGCAGCCGCGGUAAUACGAAGGGGGCUAGCGUUGCUCGGAAUCACUGGGCGUAAAGGGCGCGUAGGCGGCUUGCCAAGUCGGGGGUGAAAGCCCGUGGCUCAACCACGGAAUGGCCUUCGAUACUGGCAGGCUUGAGACCGGAAGAGGACAGCGGAACUGCGAGUGUAGAGGUGAAAUUCGU
rnacentral:rRNA from 1 species